rnacentral:rRNA from 1 species
GCCUACGGGAGGCAGCAGUGGGGAAUAUUGCACAAUGGGCGAAAGCCUGAUGCAGCGACGCCGCGUGAGGGAUGACGGCCUUCGGGUUGUAAACCUCUUUCAGCAGGGAAGAAGCGAAAGUGACGUACCUCAGA